rnacentral:pre_miRNA from 1 species
AGGGGAAUAGCUGGGUCAAAUGGUGGUUCCAUUCCCAGCUUUCCAAGAAAUCUCCGUACUGCUUCUCAAAUUGGCUGAACCAAUUUGCAGUCCCACCAGCAAU